UCAAGGCUCAUGCUCUCCGUCACCUCUCACCCCUUUUCCUACUAAGGACUUCUAACUGAUGCUGACUGCAACUACAUUAGAACAGACUUCCAGUCCCUGUCAUUCAGUAUGGCCCAGGGUCAGGCUCUUGCUCAGCUUCUCUCAGAAAGACAAGGGCAUCUUCUCCUGGCUAAAUGUGUGCAGAGCUUUUUGGGAUGAUCUUGGCCAGCAGCUGUGGCUUUCACUGUGCCUUCUAGGCUAAUCAGGUAUUCUAGGCCAUCAUGCCCUCAUUCACGAAAUGCCGUAUCCGUAACGAAGGCUGCUGUGCCUCCAGGACAACUCAGAGUGUUGCCCGGUGCUCAGCCACUAGGCCGCUGAGGCGCCGAUGCUCGGCUGAGCGUCUGCGGUCCUGUCUGGCUCGAAGAACGAGCCCCCCAGCUCUCUCUGCAGCUUUAGGGCUUCGGUAUGAGCUGCCUCCUGUGCCUAACUUACUCCGGCUCACCUGUCAGGUGUUAGUGUGGCAGCUCCCUCCUCUGGAAAGUUCUUGACUCAUCAUAUGAAGUUGAGCCCUCCCGUUACAUGUUUCCUCAGCACCCUGCACUUCUCCUUCAACACAAUCGCAGGCUUAUCAUUAUUUGUUCCAUGUUUAUUUUCUCUGUUAGACAGGAAGUUC